AACUAUUCCAGCCAAUCAGAAAGAUGCUAAGGCCCAGCAAUAAAACGAAUCAGUGCGCAGCGUAUUGCGCAUGGCGUCAGUCUACAGUUGAGAAUCAUAGUGACAGGUUGUAUUUCACCGGUAAAAGUGUGUAAUUAUGUAAAAUUUUUGAUAGAAUAUCAUAUUAAUAUGAUUAUUAUACUAUUAUUAAAUCUUGUUUAAUUAAUGCGUGUUAGUUUAAUCAUUAUCAUAUUCGAAUUGAACAUUUUUGUGCGAAAUUAUCGUUUGAUUCGAGCUUUGAAGAUGAAGUGGCUUUGAAAAUGUAAUCGUUUCUACAUACAUCGUAAUAAUUAAAAGAUAAUCCAACGACUUUCACGCAAAUAUGGAAAAGUGUUCGUGUUCGUGUCACGUUCGACAUAUUCCGACUUGUCGAAUUGUUGACCAUAUCCCCUCUCCAAUUUGUAAUUCGAUACAUCGAAAUCGCUACAUAUUCUGUCGUAACGGACGCUUCACUUCAGUGAUGCCUCUCGCAAAAUUCCUGAAUUCUCUGGCAAGCUUCCUCCAACAUUUCCAUGGGAACUGUGAUGACCAGCCUCAUGUAGGACGGAUAAUCGAAGCACUGUGAAAAGAAGGAAGAGAAGAAGCGUGCGUGUUUUUUGGCGAACGGGAAAUAGUGGAAUUAUUCGGCGUACCUGGCCAGGAAGACAAAACACGGACUCCUCCAUUAGCAAUCGCUGCACGAAUUCGAGGUCGGAAUUAAAUUCCGGAAAACAAGGUAAAUCUAUGUAAACCUGGGGAAUCGAUAGAAUAAUUUAUAGUCGAUAAAUUGCGAUCGGCCACCUUUAACAUUUCCUGUUUAUCUUUACGUUUAAAUCACGCCUGAUUUUCGACUAAUUACGCGAAAUAUUUACACGAAUGCAAGUUCGAUCGAACCCAUCUUGCAAUCCAGUUUAGUAACGGUAAAUCGCAAGCAAUUUACGAUUAAACGUAUCGUUUACAAAAGUAUUUUACCUCUGUAUAACUUUCGCAUUUUAUAUAUAUUAGGAUGUUUUUCACAAUUUUUCACGAAUCGUAUAUCGAAAAAUCGCGAAAUAAAUAAAAUUUAAG